UACAGAGGUCUCAAGCGUUGUUCGGAUUCAUUGGGCGUAAAGGGUGCGUAGGCGGCGAGGUAAGUCGGAUGUGAAAUCCCGGGGCUCAGCCCCGGAACUGCAUUCGAUACUGCUUUGCUUGAGUACUGGAGAGGAGACUGGAAUUUACGGUGUAGCAGUGAAAUGCGUAGAUAUCGUAAGGAAGACCAGUUGCGAAGGCGAGUCUCUGGACAGUUACUGACGCUGAGGCACGAAGGCCAGGGGAGCAAACGGG
rnacentral:rRNA from 1 species